rfam:Camelus ferus unplaced genomic scaffold scaffold1683, whole genome shotgun sequence.
GAGGGUAUAGCUCAGUGGUAGAGCACGUGCUUAGCAUGUACUGGGUUCAAUCCCCAGUACCUCCA